UGACAUCUACGGAAGAUUGCAGAGAUGCGAUUGUGCCUUCGGGAACCGUAAGACAGGUGCUGCAUGGCUGUCGUCAGCUCGUGUUGUGAAAUGUUGGGUUAAGUCCCGCAACGAGCGCAACCCUUAUCCUUAGUUGCCAGCACGUAAUGGUGGGAACUCUAGGGAGACUGCCGGUGAUAAACCGGAGGAAGGUGGGGACGACGUCAAGUCAUCAUGGCCCUUACGAGUAGGGCUACACACGUGCUACAAUGGUAUGUACAGAGGGAGGCAAGCUGGCGACAGUGAGCGGAUCUCAUAAAGCAUAUCGUAGUCCGGAUUGGAGUCUGCAACUCGACUCCAUGAAGUCGGAAUCGCUAGUAAUCGUGAAUCAGAAUGUCACGGUGAAUACGUUCC
rnacentral:rRNA from 1 species